CACCAGGGAGGUGGAGCUCGGGGUGGGGAGGGACUCAGACAGCAGGCUGGCCGUGACCAUCCAGGCACCAUCGGCUCACCAGCAGUUUGGAUGAAUUUUCCGGAAUGGCUCAGGCUUUCCUGAAUCAAGGCAGAGAGCAGCACCAAAGGAGAGUGGGAAGACGACAAUGUCCCUGAGGGUCCUGGAGAGGGAUGGAGAAAAUCAGAGACCACCCCUCCUGGAGAAUCCCUCUGACCUUGAUCUGGGACCUGCCAGCCCUGGUUCUUGGCUGCUCAGACAGGGCCCAUCUCCCUGACUCCCCACACUGGGGAUUUGGCUCCAGGUGGAGUCAUCCUCUCUGAGAGGCAUAGCCAUUCUCCUCUGAGGGGGAGCACAGGAAGGACCAGGCCCAGAGCACAAAGACCAAAAGGAAAUGGGAUGUCCCCUCAAACUCCUUGACCUAGUCCUCAAGGCUCUCCACUGGCCACCUUGUGCGGCACUCGCCACUACCCCUUCCCAACCCCAGACAAGGGCCGGGUUCCUGUGCCACCAGGCCCCCUGUGCCUGGAUGUCGCAAUGCUGCCACCUUUCCCAGUGCUGCCCUUUGGGGGCCUCAGACCAAGUGUGUCCCAUGUGUCCACCCCCCGCCAGUGACAGCUCUUUGGAGCAGAUGCGUGGACAGAAGGACCCAUAUUCCAAGGGCUGCCAAUUCUCAGUCAAGUCAUCCCCGGGUAUCUCGGGCCCUCUGUGCUCCUGCUUCAUCCUGGUGGCAGUGGACCCAAGCUGCGCACAGUCACAUCAGGGCAACCCCAUUACCCCAGGAGUGGCCAGAAGCAGUCGCUGCCGAGAGCCCAGCACCGGAGGAGGACGCCUAUGGUCCGCGAGGGAGCAGACAGUUGGCCCAACGAGGCCCCCCUGUCCCGGGGCGCAUGCUCACCACCCGCCUCAUCCCUACAGAUGAUGACACAAGAGGGCUCCCACACCCCUCAGUGGCCUGACCCUGCCAGAGAGAAGAACUGAGC
rnacentral:lncRNA from 1 species